GACGAACGCUGGCGGCGUGCUUAACACAUGCAAGUCGAACGGUGAACCGGGCUUCGGCGCGGGGGAUCAGUGGCGAACGGGUGCGUAACACGUGGGCAACCUGCCCCAGACACUGGGAUAACUCCGGGAAACCGGGGCUAAUACCGGAUACUCUCAACCGGCCGCAUGACCGGUUGAGGAAAGCUCCGGCGGUCUGGGGAUGGGGCCCGCGGCCUAUCAGCUUGUUGGUGGGGUAACGCCUACCAAGGCGACGACGGGAGCUGGUCUGAGAGGACGGCCAGCCACACUGGGACUGAGACACGGCCCA
rnacentral:rRNA from 1 species